rnacentral:rRNA from 1 species
UACGGCUCAGUAACACGUGGACAACCUACCCUCAGCACGGGGAUAAACCCGGGAAACUGGGUAUAAUACCCGAUAGUUCUGGUUAGCUGGAAUGCUAUCAGGACGAAAGCUCCGGCGGCCGAGGAUGGGUCUGCGGCCUAUCAGGUAGUAGUGGGUGUAACGUACCUGCUAGCCUACGACGGGUACGGGUUGUGAGAGCAAGAGCCCGGAGAUGGAUUCUGAGACACGAAUCCAGGCCCUACGGGGUGCAGCAGGCGCGAAAACUUUACAAUGCUGGCAACAGCGAUAAGGGGACCUCGAGUGCCAGGAUACAAUCUUGGCUGUCGUGAUGCCUAAAAAGCAUUGCAUAGCAAGGGCCGGGCAAGACCGGUGCCAGCCGCCGCGGUAACACCGGCGGCUCGAGUGGUAACCGCUAUUAUUGGGUCUAAAGGGUCUGUAGCCGGCCGGAUAAGUCUUUUGGGAAAUCCAGCUGCUCAACAGUUGGGCUUUCAGGAGAUACUGUUCGGCUCGAGGCCGGGAGAGGUGAGAGGUACUUCAGGGGUAGGGGUGAAAUCUUGUAAUCCUUGAAGGACCACCAGUGGCGAAGGCGUCUCACCAGAACGGACCUGACGGCAAGGGACGAAAGCUAGGGGCACGAACCGGAUUAGAUACCCGGGUAGUCCUAGCCGUAAACGAUACUCGCUAGGUGUCAGCCACGGUGCGACCGUGGUUGGUGCCGUAGGGAAGCCGUGAAGCGAGCCACCUGGGAAGUACGGCCGCAAGGCUGAAACUUAAAGGAAUUGGCGGGGGAGCACAAUCA